CGUACUUCAAGUGUUAACUGACUUCCCAAUCAAGAAGUAUUCCAUUGAAAUGAAGAGCUCUUGGGUUUUGAUCCUUUCUCUUGGACUGAUCACAGUUUUAUCAGUUUCAAAGGCCAAACCGUUUGGAGAAGAACUGAUUCCUCGUGAUAUCGGAGAUGCAAUAGAAUUUGACGAUGGUUGGUUGACGAAAAAGAAAGCCUAUUGCUUGGAUGUACAUCCAACUAUAUGUCGGUUGAGAAAACAUCAGUGCUUCAGCAGUCGGUGGUUCAUAACAUACCGGAGUUUUGUCAGCUUUGUUGAAGAAGAGUGCCCACACACUUGUGGAAUGUGUUAGAAGGCCACGCAGAGUAAGACACAAGGGAAGGAUGUUUAAAAAAAUGUUCCAGUAACAAAGCUAUUUUAGAAAGUAUUUUACACCACAUAAUCAAGUUGUGUUUACUUUUGCUGCAGUAUGUUACGUUAAUUUUCAGUGCAGCAGAAUAACUUGAACUUUCAAAUUUGGAUAUGGACUGUCUUUUAGAAUUAAUAAUGCAGUAACUGCUUUACUGAUAAGAAAAGUGGACUUUUAUGACUCCACAGAUACAAAAACUCGGAUCUAAUAUCAUCUCAUAUACCAUCUUAUUGUAAGGAGGACCAGGAAAAAAGUUUAAGGUGGCUCUGUCAUGACUGUAUACAGUUUGGUGCCCUGAUGAAUCUCUACUACCCUGUAACAGUUAAUAAUAUAAAAUUUCAUGAAAUAAAUUCUACUUAUAAGCAUGAAAUUACUAUCUUGUAAUAACAGGUUUGACAGCA